rnacentral:rRNA from 1 species
UACGAAGGGGGCUAGCGUUGCUCGGAAUCACUGGGCGUAAAGGGUGCGUAGGCGGGUCUUUAAGUCAGGGGUGAAAUCCUGGAGCUCAACUCCAGAACUGCCUUUGAUACUGAGGAUCUUGAGUUCGGGAGAGGUGAGUGGAACUGCGAGUGUAGAGGUGAAAUUCGUAGAUAUUCGCAAGAACACCAGUGGCGAAGGCGGCUCACUGGACCGGAACUGACGCUGAGGCGCGAAAGCGUGGGGAGCAAACGGG